rnacentral:rRNA from 1 species
AACGAACGCUGGCGGCAUGCCUAACACAUGCAAGUCGAACGAGACCUUCGGGUCUAGUGGCGCACGGGUGCGUAACGCGUGGGAACCUGCCUUUAGGUUCGGAAUAACUCAGAGAAAUUUGAGCUAAUACCGGAUGAUGUCUUCGGACCAAAGAUUUAUCGCCUUUAGAUGGGCCCGCGUAAGAUUAGCUAGUUGGUGGGUAAAGCCUACCAAGGCGACGAUCUUUAGCUGGUCUGAGAGGAUGAUCAGCCACACUGGGACUGAGACACGGCCCAGACUCCUACGGGAGGCAGCAGUGGGAAUAUUGGGACAAUGGGCGAAAGCCUGAUCCAGCAAUGCCGCGUGAGUGAUGAAGGCCUUAGGGUGUAAAGCUCUUUACCCGAGAUGAUAAUGACAGUAUCGGGAGAAUAAGCUCCGGCUAACUCCGUGCCAGCAGCCGCGGUAAAGUGACUACUG